GAUGAACGCCGGCGGUGUGCCUAAUACAUGCAAGUCGUACGCACUGGCCCAACGGAUUGAUGGUGCUUGCACCUGAUUGACGAUGGAUCACCAGUGAGUGGCGGACGGGUGAGUAACACGUAGGUAACCUGCCCCGGAGCGGGGGAUAACAUUUGGAAACAGAUGCUAAUACCGCAUAACAACAAAAGCCACAUGACUUUUGUUUGAAAGAUGGCUUUGGCUAUCACUCUGGGAUGGACCUGCGGUGCAUUAGCUAGUUGGUAAGGUAACGGCUGACCAAGGCGAUGAUGCAUAGCCGAGUUGGGAGACUGAUCGGCCACAAUGGAACUGAGACACGGUCCAGACUACUACGGGAGGCAGCAGUAGGGAAUCUUCCACAAUGGGCGCAAGCCUGAUGGAGCAACACCGCGUGAGUGAAGAAGGGUUUCGGCUCGUAAAGCUCUGUUGUUGGAGAAGAACGUGCGUGAGAGUAACUGUUCACGCAGUGACGGUAUCCAACCAGAAAGUCACGGCUAACUACGUGCCAGCCGCCGCCGUAA
rnacentral:rRNA from 1 species